rnacentral:rRNA from 1 species
UACGUAGGGUGCAAGCGUUAAUCGGAAUUAUUGGGCGUAAAGGGCUCGUAGGCGGUUUGUCGCGUCGGGAGUGAAAUCCGACUGGACUUAACUGGUGGCUUGCUUUCGAUACGGGCAGACUGGAGGUAUGCAGGGGAGACGGAAGUUCCAUGGUGUAGCGGUGAAAUGCGUAGAUAUCAGGAGGAACACCGGUGGCGAAGGCGGCUAUCUGGACAGAGUCUGACGCUGAGGCGCGAAAGCUAGGGGAGCAAACAGG